rnacentral:lncRNA from 1 species
CUUUGCCAAAAAGUAUGUGUUUCAAGUCAUGUAUUACUAUAACCAUCAAUCCAAGGUUCUCAAACAUAGCUACAACCCAGUCACAAAAUAGGCAAUUAAGUGGCAUCCUAGAAAUGAUUGGAAGAAUGAAGAAUCAAUGCUAGACUCGGAAAAAAUGGCUUAUUCGAUUAAACCAUAGCCUCUGAUAGGUUAAAACUAGUUGUGAAAAUUGAUGGAUAAGCAACCUCCAAAUGACUAAAGUUGUUAGUCAAAGAAUCUAAGUGGCUCGUUCACUACCAUUACUUUCCUAUGUUGUUCCUUCACCUUCUCCGCUGUCGCGUUCUCCAUGUUAAAUCAUAUGGUGUAGAAAAGAAACAUCAUCACAAAUAUGGAAAUCUGUAAAAACACUAAAAAAAUGCAUGCCAUAAACUAAAAGUUUCCUCAACUCUUUCAUUUUUUGUGAAGUAUCUGUGUCCAAUGCGUAUUUAGAUAUGGAGAUAUGACCCCCAAAAUACAUGAAAAACUUCAAUAUAGAUACACACACAUACCUAUCCAGACACAUUAUCAUAUUCAAUUCAAGCAUCAUUAGAAAGAAAUCUAGAUUCAUAGAAUAAACAAGAAACUAAAGUUUCAUACCAUGAAAUCAAUAAAUUGAUAAGAACACUAUUAACUCUCAAGUACUUAAAAACAUAAGCUGAAGCUGAAGCUGAAGCUUCCCUUGGCUCUUUCUCUACCAUGGAAAUCACAUCAACUGCCAAAUCCCAACAUCUCUAUGAGUUUAUCAACAAACAUACUUUAAACUACACCAUAAACAAAAAGGGCUUUUGCCUGAACUCAGAGGAGUCUAUCAGCAUCAGAUUUAUUCAAAACAAAUUGUAACUGGACGCGAAGGUGAGUAUCUAAAACAGGUAUGUUUCGACACAGAUAAGCUCAAUUAUUCCAUACAUUUGUCAAGAUAUUUGUUGGACACAGAAUAUUAAAAUAAUAAUAACUUAGGUAACAUAGUUCGGCUUAUACUUGGAACUAAAAAAAAGUCCACAACACCAUAACAACUUCUCCCCCCAAAAAUAAUCUUUUUUCUUUUAGAAAUAUUCAGUUGAAACAAAUUCUUUAUUCAUGUUAUGAAACUGAAUGGCAUCCAUAGUAAAAUAAUUCCUAAAAAAAGGUGAACUUUCAUACUCCAAAUUAAGCAUUUAAUUAGAUUCAAACAAAAACAUUUUUAAAAAAUGGCAGAACAGAGAAAAUGGGAAAAUGAAAUAAUUAUAAUAAAAAGGAUCUAGAAAUUUACCAUUUUUCUUAGCAGGAUUUGGGAUACAACCUCAGAAAUCCAAAGAUGAAAAUGUUGAAGCGGCUUCUGGCUUUCGUAUUUUAUGUUUUGUCAGUGAAAUGAAAAUAUUCACCUCACCUUGGAUGAAGGGGAGGAAUGCUGGAGUCAGAGGAAGCAAGAAAUGGCUGCCGUUGAGUGUUUUUGAGGUGAGAAUUUGUGAGGGUAAAAUAGGGUUGAUUUGGGACGAAUGGGUAAACGGUGAAGAGGAAAGGGAAUAGAAAUCCCCAAAUUUUUCUGUUUAAGGCCGGAAUAAAAU